AUUGAACGCUGGCGGCAGGCCUAACACAUGCAAGUCGAGCGGAUGAAGGGAGCUUGCUCCUGGAUUCAGCGGCGGACGGGUGAGUAAUGCCUAGGAAUCUGCCUGGUAGUGGGGGAUAACGUCCGGAAACGGGCGCUAAUACCGCAUACGUCCUGAGGGAGAAUGUGGGGGAUCUUCGGACCUCACGCUAUCAGAUGAGCCUAGGUCGGAUUAGCUAGUUGGUGGGGUAAAGGCCUACCAAGGCGACGAUCCGUAACUGGUCUGAGAGGAUGAUCAGUCACACUGGAACUGAGACACGGUCCAGACUCCUACGGGAGGCAGCAGUGGGGAAUAUUGGACAAUGGGCGAAAGCCUGAUCCAGCCAUGCCGCGUGUGUGAAGAAGGUCUUCGGAUUGUAAAGCACUUUAAGUUGGGAGGAAGGGCAGUAAGUUAAUACCUUGCUGUUUUGACGUUACCAACAGAAUAAGCACCGGCUAACUUCGUG
rnacentral:rRNA from 1 species